UGGGGAAUUUUGGACAAUGGGCGAAAGCCUGAUCCAGCAAUGCCGCGUGCGUGAAAGAAGGCCUUCGGGUUGUAAAGCACUUUUUGUCCGGAAAGAAAAUCCUUGGCUCUAAUACAGUCGGGGGAUGACGGUACCGGAAGAAUAAGCACCGGCUAACUACGUGCCAGCAGCCGCGGUAAUACGUAGGGUGCAAGCGUUAAUCGGAAUUACUGGGCGUAAAGCGUGCGCAGGCGGUUUGCUAAGACCGAUGUGAAAUCCCCGGGCUCAACCUGGGAACUGCAUUGGUGACUGGCAGGCUAGAGUAUGGCAGAGGGGGGUAGAAUUCCACGUNUAGCAGUGAAAAUGCGUAGAGAUGUGGAGGAAUACCGAUGGCGAAAGGCAGCCCCCUGGGCCAAAUACUGACGCUCAUGCACGAAAAGCGUGGGGAGCAAAACAGGAUUAGAUACCCCUGGUAGUCCACGCCCUAAAACGAUGUCAACUAGUUGUUGGGGAUUCAUUUCCUUAGUAACGUAGCUAAACGCGUGAAGUUGACCGCCUGGGGGAGUACGGUCGCAAAGAUUAAAAACUC
rnacentral:rRNA from 1 species